GCUGAGAGGUCUGCAAUGAAUAUUUGUUGGAUGAAUGAUUAAAUUAGUAGCCGUAGCCUUAACUCUCAUUUCCUCCUGAUUUCACUGAGGGCCUCAAGUGAAUCGCAGACUGCGACAAUGACCAUUGCUCUGAGAAAACUAUUUUUCAUUUGCGAGGUCUCCUUAGCAUUAAUUUUGCUUAAAAACAAAAAUGCGAAAAAUGAAACCUGAGGCGAAGUUUUAGUAUAUCAACUUUCUGUCAGUCCUACCCUUUUUAAAAAGAGUGACUUUCUCUCUGAUAAUCUGUCAUAGUGGCUGUGACGUGUGUUUUGAAAUGGUGCAUCCUUGCUUUCAAUAUCUAAGUAGCCUACCAUUUUAUGUUUUUAUUUACUUCUUAAUCUUACAGGUUUUUAGACAAGUGACUUACAUUUUUAUUUAUUCUUAAAUUUCUGAGUGAGUUUGGUGCUUCCUUUGGAGGCUAUGUUAUUAAUUUACAAGUUUAUCGUAUCAUGGUUAGAAAAAUGUGUGGACUUCUUUGGAAAAAAUAUAAGAUUUGUAGAGGUGGGCAUAUUUUCAAAAUUUUCAAGGAUAUUUAAGACAGAAAGCUUGUAGAAAAAGAUUACAACAUGGCUAUAAAUUUCCCCUAUUAAUUACAUUGAUCGAAUCUCCUAUGUUAACAUUUGUGUUCAAUCUUUCGGACGGACAGUAUCGUUUGAAAAUCUUACCAUUGCUUUUCUGUAAAAUUUUUGCUUUAUGAGGCUUAAGCUAACAUAUAAAGCUUUAACCCCAUUAUCUUCUCACACUGGAUUGAGUUCGUGUCCAUUAAAAAGUGGCCCGGGUUGUCCCAUUGCAUAGUAUUUGCUCGGAAUUCGAUUUCUCUGCAAUUCCGUUUCUAGAUCUUCUUUGUACGUGCUGACAUUUGCACGCUGUGUAUUUUGCUCAUCCUUUGAUUUUCAUCUCCUUCCUCCCCCUUAGGUAUAUUUUUGUGAGUAGUGCGUCGGGGAGAAUCUCGGUGUUUUAAUAAGCGGCUUAAUCGUUUGUUGUCCUGCUUUGCUGUCGUGUCUUGUGCUCUCAGCUUCGAGGCUCUUCACUGCCCCCCGCUUCUCGCCUGCCCUUUGCUUUAGAGAAGUAUGUGUAGCUUGCUCUUAUCUUUUGACAUGGCUUUGAACUUGACGUUCUAAAUUUAAUCCUAGCAGAACAGUGCUUUUUUCAGAGCGAGUUUGGCAGAACAUUUGGCCCUGUGAGAUGCUCCGUGGAAAAGAGGGCUGUUGUCAAACAUGGCGAAGAAGGUGGCGUACUAGGUACCCCCUUAGAGAUUCUUAAAGCCCAACAGCACAGGAAAGGUUCCGAUAAGCCCUGCACUGGGGGCCGGGGUGCGGGGGAAGCACCUUUCUUUGUUUCCCAGUUAUUUUUAGGAGGGCUUAUGCCACUAUUCCAGCCUGAAGUUCUCAAGGAGAUGCUUCCCCAAAUGUUAGUCAAAUAGGAAUUUCUGAGCCAGUGCAGACUUUCCUCUUCCUGUAAAGCCAUCUGUCCUUCAAACCCAGCGAUGUGACUUGGUGCCCCUAGAAGAAGAAGGUGUGAGCCCCAGAGGAAAGAGGUUUGCAGGAGGUCAUCUUGCCGGGAAAAGGGGGCAAGAAGCUCCGAAAAAGAGCCCCAGACGCCCAGCGUUAGGGAACGUGUGCGGUUGGCCUGCCUCCUUGUCCUGGCACUUUACACGGUCCCAGAGGAGGGACUCAGAGCACCAGGGGCACAGCCACGAGAAACAGCGCGGGAGCGACUCACAUAACCGUGAAGCCCGAUCCCCAAGCACAUUCGGCCCACGGUGGGAAGACGCCAGGUCCGGAGAUCACCCUCAUCAGAGAGAAGCUGGAGGUACUGCUGGAUUCCUGGGUAAGAAAUAUUCAGGAGUGGGGGCAGGAUGUCUUCAAAAAAACUAGAAAUCUCCCCCAAAGAACGCUCACAAGAAGACGAUUCAACCUGAACACCUGCCAAUCACUUUGGAACAUCCUUGCUCAAAUUACUACUUCUCCUCACAGUUCUAUAGUGCGCGUGUGUAUGUGUGUGUGUGUGUGUGUGUGUGUGUGGAGGGGUUGGUUCGUGGGGUACAGGAAGGAGGGGAAAUAAAGAAGCAGCAGCCCAGCCAUAGUCCAUGUGCAGCUGUUGCUCGCACAGGCCUGGGCUGGGAGGAAGGGAAGGGGCUGCCUAUUGGAACGCAGCCCUGAACUUCAGCCCCUGCGUGGACUGGACAUGCUAAGGCCCAUCAAAGGCCCGUGUGUCGCCCAAGAAUGGCCAGAAAAGCCAAGCGUCUUCCCAGGUUUUCAUCCAGGCAGGGACAACCCAGUGCCACGGAGUUCGCUGGGUGGGGUAUCAGAAGCCAUAACUGCUCGAUCCUUCUAGCUUCCCUGCCUUUCGAGCUUUGGCCUUAAGUCUUCCACCUGCACGAUGUCAUUUAACCUUCACCGUCUCCCCGGGAGGCAGUGAUCGUACCUUACAGACAAGGAGACUGAGGAUCACAGAGAUGAAGCAAUUUGCCAAAAUUUACCGAGCGAAUAAUGAUGCAUCUGCGGUGAAUUAAAAUUCUUAACAUGAUCCAUUCGAGGAAGGAAGUCGAGGGCAUAGAUAAACGAGACUGGCCGUGAGUUAAUAACUGUUGGAAGCUGGUGGUGGCGGAUGGGGUUCAUUAUACUAUGCUCUCUACUUUCUUAUAAGUUUGAAAAUCCCCAUAAUAAAACGUUCAAAAUGUGUCGAACGUGUGAGUUCCAGCCGAAGGCCAGCUCCCUGUGCCGUCUGCCUCCAGCCAAGGCCCCGCCCUCUACUCGGCCUUGCUGGAAUGGCCAGCAGAAAAGUGGAUCUGGGGACAGACCCUUACCUUGUCCCCUGUCCCUGUGUCCUCAUCCUUCUGGGACUCUCCCCUUUCUUUUUGCUAAGGUGAUUGGUAUAGAGGCAACAGGGAGGAUCCUCCCAAGGACGUGACAGAUGGCAAAUCAGAUUUGUCCCACGAAGAGUUAGAUUCAGUGCAUGAUUCCAGAGAAAGGAUUUGCAAAGCCACACAGCAGAGGCAGAAUGGGUGCUGAGCCAUUAGAGGGAUAAUCAAACGCUCGUUUGUCUAAUUAACGGGGUUCAAGGCCACGCUCCUUUCUUCUCCAUAAAUGCAUAUCCUUUUUAAAAGUCAUUAAAAUAUUUCAUUAAAAGGGGUUUGAUCGCAAACGCUGAGCGUCUUGGGCGUCUGUGGUUUUCAGCCAUGGAUGGGUCAUCACGGUGGCUUUCGUGGUAGUUUAGGCACCAAAGUUUAUGACUUCUAUUUUUGUUGGCAAGAACUGGAAUGUACUUAAGAUCAUCUUUGUGAUAUUGUCACGAUUGUUCUUUUGCGUUCUGACACACGUUCCUCAGUGUGAGAGAAAGGGGCGGAAUCGGGGACGCCUUGUGUCCCCCCGGGGCGCGUGAGCACCAUCCAUCACCUGGCAUGCUGAUCGGAACGAAAAGGUUGCGAUCCCCAGUUUAGAUGCUCAGUACCUGAUCUCCGCGUUGAAUCGAACACUGAAUCUUGCCGUUUCUACUUAGAACGGGAGUGCAGAGAUCACCAAACGGCUCCCUUUGAACAGAAGUCUGACCUGGAGGAGGUGAGAUGUGUGAACAAAUUACUUUCUUAGGCCAUAAGCUUUCUCAGGAAAAUCGCGACUGAGAACCCUAGCGGCACAUCAAAGGCUUGGUUUGUUAAAAGGGGGUGUUUAAUUCAGAAAUCAAGGAUUCCGGCUUGUUUUUGUCAUUGUUAAAAUGGAGUUUUGAUGAGAGAUGUGCUUCUCCCUUCGCGGCUAUGGAAAGUCCACACGUGGGCACGUCGACCUCCUCCGCCGAGGUCAGAGGUCGAAACUCCAGGAUGAGGGAGGAGGAGCAGCACCGUGUGUCCCGGGCGGCGCCCAUCCCCCUUCCUCUCAAAGCCCAGCCUCUGCGGAGCCUCGUGAGAACUUCCACUGUCUCUCUGUUUCCCCCCAUCACCGGUCCAGGUCGCCCAGGUGAUGGACUUGAUGGACAGGUCUCUGAAGCUGGCCACCCCCGAAGGGGCCCUGGUCCAGGGGCUUCGAAGUCCGGAGAGUCCCCAUGAAGUGGUGGAGGCCGUGGCCGUGGCCGGUCGGCGCAGGGCCUUCUGGAAGUGGGGGUGCAGGUGUGAGUCUGGGCUCGGACCAGCGGCUGCAGGAACUGGGCAGCCCCCCCCUCACCUCCCGUCUCUGGGCUUCCCCAGGCCGGCGGUGGCAGAGACGCCCCCAGCAGAUGGCCUGGCUGCCCCCGCAACCUCCGCACCCAGGGACGAGUCCCGGGGGCUGUUCGGGACCUGUCUCUGCACCCCUCCCCCACAGACACACGCCAACGCGCAUGUCAUGGCCUCGGCACCCAAUGCUUACGCUUCAGCCUCUAAAACAACAGAGCUGGAGCCGCCGAUGUCUCUUUGUUUCCGUCCUUGCCCUGACCCUGUCGCACCUGUUUAUGGUAAAACUGCUCGUCGGCCCCCCAGCCUCCAGAUCUGGUGGCGUCCCUCUCCCUCCCUGACCGUUUACGGGGGACUGGGGGGAGUACGGUAGGCGACCGCGUAUCUGUUGGCAUCCUCAACGAACCUUCAGGUUCUAGAGACCUGGACUCCAAACCCUGAAGUCCAGAUGGGCCCCGACGCUCACAGGCAGGGCAGCUGCCCAGCGGUCACUUGUCUAGUUUCCUGCGGUCACUUGUCUAGUUUCCCGCCUGGGGGCCACAGAGCCCCCCUUGGGCAGAGACUCAGGCCCCCAGCCCCUGCUUCACCCAGAGCUUCUGACUUUCACCUCUUCGAAACGACUUGCCAGAGAAAUGACAAAGUUUAUCACGGAGAUAAAUGACUCGCGGCUUUGGGAAAGCCGUGAGGGAGGGCGGGCUCCAGGAGCUUAAAGUGCCUCUUCGCCCCACCUGGCGAGGUGGCGGAAAGCUGGGUCUCCUGCAGGAUGUGUGGCGAGAGUUUGAAUCUCAGUAAUGAGAGUGUAGUAGUUUCCUGAAGCCACUGGAACCAAGUGCCAUAAACGGGGUGACUUAAAACCACAGAAAGGUUUCUUCUUACGGUCCUGGGGUGAGAGGUCAAGGCGUCGGCAGGGCCACGCUCCCUCGGGACCUGUGCGGGACGCUCCUUCCUGGCCUCCUGCAGCUCCGAUGACUGGCCACCAUCUUCAGCAUUCCUUGGCUCAGACACGUCACUUCGGUCAUCUGUUCGGUGACUUUCUCCCUGUUCCUCACCUCGCCUUUCCUCCGUGCGUGUCUGUCUGUGGCUAACGUUCCCCUUUUUAUAAGGACGCUAACCAUCCCGGAUCAGAGCUCACCCUAAUGACCACAUUUGAACGCCUCCGGUAAAAGACUCUGUGCCGCAUGGGGCAGCUGUGCCAUUAUAUAACUAGUGACUGGUCACCCGUCUGGUCCUUUAAUCUAAGGAGCAUCGCCACAAAAGCAGGGCUCUGUCUUGUUCAUCACGUGGCACGGUACCUCAAAAAUAGUAGGAACUCAGCGGACACCGGCUGCGAAGUCCAUGAACGAAGCUGCAGGAGAGGAGAAUGUUUGGGUGUGAGGGCUGCGUUAGUAACAUGUAUUUGUCGUGAGUGGCAAAAGGACAUUUUCUGGGGUUUAUUCUCUCUUCCCUAAACCCCAGCCAGGGUGCUGGGCCUCCCACGGUUAAUGGGGCGGGGGCUCAUAGUUUCACCUGAUUAUUCACGGAAAGGGCCUCCAGAAGACUGGAGAACUCAGGAACGACCGAUUUCCAUGUUUUUGAUAAUCAUCUCCCAUGCUGGACUUCGUGCCGUCAGGGAGCUGGACAGGAGCUGGACAGCGGCAAGUCUUUUCCUCAGCAGGUGCUCAGUAAAUCCUUAAUGAAUUGAAAUAAAUAACGCAAGGGGAAAGUUUGCAAAGUAUAAAGGGAGGGGGCCGUGAGGGCUGAGGUUCCGACUUCCGCAGAAACUGAGGUUCAAGUACAGCUGCCAAGCCUCAGACCCAGUUGCACCCCGACAUCCUUAGCAAGUCGCCCAGCUUUUGACAAACUCCCCUUUACAACCCUUAGUUCCUCCCCAUUUGGAUUCUGCCCGGGGAGCUGGUACGGAGCCCAGAUCGAUGUCAUGGUGUUUAAAUCUCACCCAGUGACAUCUCCACGAGGUCUGCAUCGCCGUAACGCCACCCCGAGGGUGGCACGGCGGCUGGCAUGGGGCAGAGCACCAGUCAUGUGGUCCUGGCCCUUUACUGGGCUUAAGUCUGUUGCUGGGCCAUGAUUUCGGGGGGUAUUAGGAAUAGUGGGGACUAUGAGGGAAGCACGUUUUCAGCCCUGAUGUAAACUAGAGCUGGGCCCUGUGGGAAAGGACAUCAAGUCUGUCGUCGCAAGACUUGAGUUCUAACUCCUCCCCUGACCGUAUGACCUUGAACUGUCUUGCCUCCCCGGCCAGCAAGGUCAUUUCGAGGAUUAAAUGACAAAUACGCGUAAAAGUGCUUUAGAAUGAGAGGCUACCAAGGUCCUUUAAACAAGCCCCCCGGAGAGGUCGCCCGCGGCCGACAUCCUGCCUUGUGCUGGGAGCUGGGCCUCCGUCAGAACUGCUUCUGCUGCUGAGGGCUGUCCUCUGCAAGCACUCGGUGACACGCGGUGGGACCCGAGGAGUCUGAGUCAUCAGUCCAGCCUCUUAAGAGAAGCGACCCUUGAUGCUCAGCUCUGCGUGUGAUCAGGUGCCACGUUCCAUUCAUGUCUCAAAGCGGGUGGUCUUGGGCCGACCACCGUCUCCAGCCUGGGCUCUCGUGGAGGCUUCCGAAGGACCUGCUGGUCACAGAGUGGACAUGUCGUGGAGCUCCUCUUCCUGUUUGUCUUCUGUGGAGACAGAAAGGGCCACGUGGUGGCCUCAUGGCCCCCGAAGCCCGUGCCGGGGCUGGAAGCCCUCUGGGGGCGGGGCGGCGUCUCCUCUGACUCAGCAUCUCUGGGGUUCGAGUUGGCGUUGGACUUCGCGUGACGGAAGCUGUUUUCUGGUUCACCGAACACGUGUCCUGGGCACACGUUCAGGUUGGCGGCAUCUUCCAGGGACCCGGGCUGAGGAAGGCUCCACCACCAUCGGCACACGGCUUGCGAAGCCGCUUCAACCGUUUCC